CAUAGAUUGAGGAGGCGGUGACCGUGGCGGUGGAGGAGGAGGAUGAGGCAGCCAACACUGGUUUUAUAUAUAUAUACAUAUAUAUAUAUUUUAAUUGGAGUAGCCCCCAAAAUAUUGGGACAUGUAAAAAAAGACAACUCUGUUCCGCAGAGUAGCUGUUGACAUUAUAGUUGUGCAGGAACUUUGUUGACUCUAGAGAACCUCCGGCAAAUCGCACAUCCCCGUGGCGGUGACUUUGCAUGCGGAUGUCAUCCAUAUCAACUUUCGAUGCCAGUUUCUGUGCCUACCAUGGUGACCACGGGUAACGGGAAUCAGGGUUGCAUUCCUUACAGGGACCCUGACAAACGGCUUUCACAUGCAAGGAAGGCAGCAGGCGAGCAAAUGACCCACUCCCGACGCGAGAAGGUAGUGAUG